UAUGCUUAAAUUGUCAAAUUAGUCAUAAAAUAAGUUUGAAAUAUCGUCAAAACCGUAACUUUGUCGCAUAUUACAAUUGCAAAUUGUCUAGAAUAGUUAAAAGGUGACCUGUUCUUCAUCCUCUAGGCAAAAAUCCUACCUGAGCAGGAUAAUGGGAGACGUGACCGGUAAAGGUGAAAAGCCUAUGUGUCCAGUAAAACUCGGGAGGUAUGUGAGAGAGGGGAGUAAAUCAUCUGGCCUUUGAUGUGGAAAGAAACAGCAAUGAGCGGCCUUAGAACGCGAGGCUCUUGAAGGCAGGAGCCGGAUCAUUCAUUUCUGCACCCUCACUGGCUGCAUGUAAGUGAUGGAAGAAUUAGUGGGUGAAUAAAUGACCGUGUGAAAGGAGGAAGGGCAGCAAGUCACGUGGUCAAAAUGCUGCUAAGUUACAAGAUUGAGGGCCCGAGUGAUUAAAUUAGACCCACCUGGAUAAUCCCGGAAAACUUCCCUGUUUCUGAGGUCUGUAACCCCUAUUCAGCGGUUCCAGGGAUUAGGACAUGGGCAUUGCUGGGGGAUCGUUAUCCUGCCUCUUACAGUGGCACAGUCGAGCGAGGGGAAAUGCACUAGCAAUCUAUCACGAGGUA